UUCAUGUAACUUGCUUGUGCCCUCAGGA
rnacentral:piRNA from 1 species